ACACCGUUGGUGAAGUGGUUAUCAUGCUUGCCUUCCAUGCUGAGAGUAGUACUCAGUAAUUUCAGCAAGCGGCUCGGGUUCGAUUCCCGAACGGUGUA